GUUCACAUCUGCAACGCGUGACUAGGGAUGACAAAAAAACCCAAAUUCGAGAGACCCACCUGAACCCAAACCCAAGUCAAUGGGCGAAACCCGAUUUGACUGGGUUUGGAUUUGGGUUCGAGUGACACCCGAUAAUAUAAAACUAGUAAACUUUUUGAAAUUAUAAAAGCUAAAUGAAAAUUUUAUUAAUGAUCGAUCACAAUAUGGAAUAGCACUGCAUAUUAAUUUGUGUAUUCUUUUAGGAAAAACAAUCAUAAUCUAUGAAGCUUUGUAAUUAUACACAGGGUUAGUGUAUAUAAUUACGAUCAAUAACCUGUUGGAAAAAUAUGACAUAGAAUUAUUUCAUUAAUAUAAAUCAAAGAAAUAUUGGUACAAAUAUAUAUGAUACAUAAUAAAAUAAAAAUAUGGAACAAGAACAACUUAUCGAUUUGACUGAGGCGUGCAAAUGCACUGGGCUUAAGAGUAUUUCGCCACCACAGGUAAGUUACCCGGUGCAGUUGGUCUCAUAGCUAAUACCCUCCAGGAUACAACAGUCACUUCUUGCUAGCACCGCACGUGAAUUAGCAAGGUCUCAAGAACCACUUUUUGGAUGCUCAAGGGAACUUAGUAUUAUAUUAGUUACACACAAUGUUUAUUUUCUUUCUAACUUUCCGUCCCCCUUUUUGCCUAGCCAUCACCCAUGCAUAUAUAUACAUAUAUACCACUUUAUUAGAAAACAAUAAGUUUACGUUGCAGCAUAACGGAGCCCUUUUAAUUAGGAUUGAUUACAUAUUAAUCUUGUCAAUGAAAUAGGAACGGCUAAGCAACCAAUUAAUUAGAAACAUGACCAAUUAAAAUUAAUAAUAAUAAUAAUAAAAUAACUUUGAAAUAAAUUACACAUAAAAUAUCCUACAUAACCUUGUGGAAGGAAAAACAAUCAUAAUCUAUGAAGCUUUGUAAUUAUACAAUCACAAUUGCCUUGUUAGAAGCAAUGUAAGAAGUGGAUAUACAACCUACAUAUAUAUUGGUGUGUCAGAAUAUAGUUCCAUUAUUUGUAACAUUAAAAACAUGUAUUUCCAUUCAAACUUUGUGUUUGAGUUUAUAAAGUAACAAGCGAAUAUGGUUGCUUAUACGUUUGCUAAAGCGGUUAUAUCUUGUCUAGUUGCUCAUACGCUUGCUUAAUGAAAUGCUUUGAGUGUUUGUUUGUCAAACAAAAGUACCUACAGAGUUGUAAAGAGAUUUCAAAAAAAAAUUAUGAUUAUUAUAUAUGGGGUUUAGAGUGUUAUAUAAAAUAUUAUUCUUAUUUUAUGAUUUUCUCUUUUCAAUCAUGAAAGG
rnacentral:lncRNA from 1 species